GAGUGGAUCAAAGACAGCCCCCAAAAGACUCCAAACUACAAAGUCCUAGCGCCAGCUAAGACAUCACCAGGUGGCCUGGCAGGGAGUGCAUACACAGAAUGGGGAUGUCGAUGCCAUGCCCCAGGGCCCCUUUUCUUCCUGUUACUACCUCCCGGAUACCCCAAAAAAGGUGCCUAGGGGGACGCCUGGGUGGCUCAGUUGGUUGAG